UUCAUGAAGCCGGAAUUGCUAGUAAUGGCAGGUCAGCAUACUGCCGUGAAUACGUUCCCGGGCCUUGUACACACCGCCCGUCACACCAUGAGAGUUGGGAAUACCCGAAGCCUGUGAGCUUAACCUUUUAGGAGGCAGCAGUCGAAGGGUGGGGGUUGAUGAUUGGGGUGAAGUCGUAACAAGGUAAC
rnacentral:rRNA from 1 species